rnacentral:lncRNA from 1 species
AGGUUUGUUACACAUGUAUACUUGUGCCAUGUUGGUGUGCUGCACCCAUCAACUCGUCGGCACCCAUCAACUCGUCCUUUACAUCAGAUGUGCUUAAAAUAAAGAUCGGCAAAUAGGAAGAGUGACUUUGAUCAUCUUGGUAGUACCUAAAUGCAAUCACAUGUACCUUUAGAAGAUGGAGGCAUAGAAAGACUUGACACAUAUAAAAUGUAAUUUAUUCAAGAAGAAAAUGUUGGAAUGAUGUGGUCACAAGUCAAGGAAUAAUGGUAGCAACUACAAGCUUAAAGAAGUAGGAAAUAAUUCUCCCAAGAGCCUCCAGAAGGAAUGCAGCCCUGGUGUCACUUUAUUCUUUAUCCAAUAAAAUUGAUUUUAGAUCUCUAGUCUCAAGGACUGUGAGAGAAUAAAUUUAUGUUGUGUGAAGCCAUCAACUUUCUUACAGUAGUUUCAAGAAACUAAUAUCACAAAUAAACAGAAGUAAAUUAUUAAUAAUUUAUUAGUUGAUUAUCUUUUCAGUAGUAUCAAAAUGACUUGAAAUUCUACCUCUAAUAUAUUAUUUAAUUAUCUACUUCCCUCUGAUUCACACCUUUUCAUUAUCUAAUUAAUGAUAUAAAUUUCAAAGAAAAGUAAAAAUCAGAUAUUUGGUAUAUAAAUGUAACAUAAGUUUUCAUUGUUCUAAACAUUACUUUUGAACAAUAAUAAUUGAAGCUGUAUUUUGCAAACUGUUAUAAUUAGAAUAUCCUCAUAGUGACAUUAAACUAUAAAUAAUACCUUUACUAAUUAUAGAAAUACCUUUAUUUCUUGUGUUUUGUUUUUAAAAUAUUCUUAGAUUCUCUUUCUGGUAAUUAUUGGUGAGUCUGUUUCAGAUCAAUCUUUCUGCUGAUAUUAACAAUAAUCUAUAAAUACUGCACAGCUAACAAGGUAGUAAGAAUUUAUAUGGUUAAAUAUCUAAGAGAAGAGAAAUCAAAUGAGCAGACCUAUGGGUCAUUUAAUGUUCCCAACCACUGAGAAGCAGAGAAACUGAUCAGACUUUUCUUUUUUAUCAGAAUGAAAGAACUAGGGGUAAUAACGGAUUUCAGAUUUACUAAACUUGUAGGGCCCUGGUGAACACUUGAAACAUUUAAGAUAUCACCAUGGGAAGAAAUAAACAAUACCAUAUUCUGACAGAAAUUAUGCUUUUAAAUGUUUUAAUCUCUGAAUAGAUUAAAAUGAUCUAAAUUGGUAGUAUGUCUAAUCUACUUCUUGUCAGAAAGAAAUGUAAAGCAUAUUAGGAUCAAAUGGUGUCUAUAGCAGCUUUCUGCUUAAUAGCCUCAAAUUAGAAGCAACUAAAAUUUCUAUCAAUUAAAGAGUGGUGAAAUAAUUUGUGAUAAGUCAAUACACUGGAAUUUUUUUAUUGAAUAAAAGAAAAUGAAACUAUAAUUAUGAAUACAUAUUAUUAUAAAUAUUAUAUUAAGUUAAAAAUGGUAGAAGAAAGAAAGCCUACAUAAAUUAUAAUUUCCAAUAUUAACAUUCUUUAAAAAUGUAAAAUUAUAAGGAAAAAGAUCAGGACCAGGAUGCUGAAAGUGUUUCAUAGCAAAGAGGCUUUAGGGAACUUUCUGCUGUAGUGGUAAUAAUCUGCGUCUAGAUUGAAGAGGUAGCUACAUGACUGUAUAUGUUUGUUGAAACUAAUUAAACUUACAAAUGGUUAUUUAUGUGAUUUAUAUCUCAUUAAACCUGAUUUAAAUACAAAAAAAAGAGAUGAUGUAAAAAAAUAAAAAUGCAAUGCAAAAACUGUAAUACUUAAAUCCAACAAAGAGCUUUUAUCUGGAAUAUAUAAAGUCAUCUCAUUGCUAAAUAAUAAGGGGACUUCACUAGGAAAAUGCUGAAUAUUAACUAAUAAUGAAGCAGAAUGAAAGCAAAUUUAACUCAAAACAUUUAAAAGAUUAAUAAAUGUUAUAACAGCAGACAAUAAUAAAUAGAAAAUAGAAAAAUGGCAAAUUUGGCUAUUUGAAAAGACUAAUAAGAAUGACAACUCUAAGGCAAUAUUUAACAAAAACUAUAUAAUCUGAAAGCUAUCAUUACAAAUAAUAGGGAAAGCCAAAAAAGAAAGAAUAAGUGAAGCGUAGUAGCAGGAAAAAAAUAGUAAAUUGCACAUUACUAUACAUUUUACAAAUACUGAGUCUCUGUAUGAGCAUAUUAUAAAAUGUAUGUUAAUAACUAUUAUCAUUUAGAUGAAAUCAAUAAAUCUCUAGAAAAAUUACAAAAUUGACAUGGAAGAAUUUUUAAGCCAAAUAUUUCUAUGUCUCUAUUUUAGUAAGUAAAAUAUUGAUUUAUAUUUACUCACAGAAAAAUCCCAGGCUGCCAAAUUUUGUAAAGUUACCAAGCAGAAAAAACACUUCAUAAAAAUGAAAAAUUAGAGGACAUUUUUAUGAACACAGAUGAAUACUUCUAAACAAAAUAUUAGCAUAUUGUAUCUCU